GCCAAGCUCCCCGCCUCCUCCUCCUCCGCCGGUCACACCACUCGUCCCCUCCUCUCUCUCCCCCGCACACCCUCUCUCUCGCAGCAAACCCCAGUGCUCUCCGAUCCAGAUCCCUCUCCUCCCCUCGCCGCCACCCACCCCUCCCCUGCAGCCACCUACCUCCAACACCUACCCCUCACCUCGCUGCCACCCACCUCCGCCACACCUCCCCUCCCCACCUCAGAUCCUCUCCCCACUCCCAGAUCCAACUUGCCACCUGAGAACGAGGAGGUCGCGGCCAGGAACUUCGCGAUGCGGUGGUCGUCGACGCGGGGUCAUGACGCGGGGCCGUCCAUGGAGGCGGUGGUCGACGACGCGGUGUCCAAGCUGCUGAAGGCCGGCAUCGCGCUGUCCGAGAUCUCCUCUGCCCCCGGGCUGUCAGAUGAUGCCCUCGAAGGUGAAGAUGGGCUGAGAUGGCAGGCUGCUAGUUGCCUCGGCCUCGAAGAUGAAGAUGAAGGUGGAGGAGAGCGAGCGUGGGUGAGAUGGCAGGCUGUUGGUUGCCUCGGCCUCGCGCAGCAUGUCCGACCGCCCCUACUCCCCUGACGAGCGCAUGCUGCAGCUCCUAGGCGAGGGUACACGGACUCCACUUCUUCCACCAGCCACCCUCCCCUCUGCGCCCAGCUUGUGGAACACCUCCACACCAUCUUGGGAGCCGCCUGCCGUUUACUUGAUCGUGCAGGUGGUUGUGCUGAAGGUGUCCCUGCACUACAAAGUGUGCACUGGCAAGGUGAAGAAGCACCUCACCAAGAUGGAAGGUGAGCACCAACAUCUCUUAAAGUUUGGUGACAAAAUAAUGCAUCUUGAAUCCUGGGAAGACCAGUUACUUACUAAUAAUAUGUCAUUGGAGGAUAUGCUACAGCAAUGCAGCAAUUUGAAUUGAUAUUCACAUUGAAUUAAUGACUUGUCUUGUGUAUGCAAUUGAAACAUACCCAUAUAAAAGAAGUUUGUUCCAUGCAUCAUUGAGCACCAACAUCUCUUAAAGAAGUCCGUUCCAUAUGGCAGAGAUAUUCUGUUUGCUAAUAUGAAGAUAACAUUGUGUUUAAUCCAGUACUGAUGAUUGUUUUCAUUCCCAUAUAAACUUGUUAAUGAUGGUGAUUUUGUACUAGCAUAUAAACUUGUUUUUGUGUCACUUGAUACAUACUUAGCUUGUACUUCAAGUUGUGGGUUAAUGUUGGUAAUUUUGUUCUACUUGUAUGCAUUGGUAUCCCCAUCAUCAAGCGCAUGGAUGCAAUAGUGGCAAGAAGAUCAUGGUCGUGUGCAUCAUCAAGCACACCAAGCAUCCACCUCCUCACAGUGGCAAGAAGAGCAGGUGCCUAGUUGUAAUCGCUGUCGAAGGAGGUCCAUGCUGAAGAACAUAAAACUUGUAGAGCUUGUAAAGUACCAUGCUAUUGAACUUGUGGAGCAUGUAAUUGUGACUGCCAUACUGUUGUGACACUUGUAGAGCUUGCAAAGUGUAUGUUAGAGCUUAUUAUGUGUUAUUUGUACAGCAGCAGCUUUGUACUGACUUUGGCUGAUAAUAUUUGAAGUAUUUUGUGUGUUU